ACCUGCUGCAGGACCACCUGCUGCAGGACCACCUGCUGGAAACCAGCCUGUGUCACCAGCAGCUGCAGCUCCCCCCUGCUGCCAGCCCAGCUGCGGUGGCCAAACCAGCUGUGGUUCCAGCUGCUGCCAGCCCUGCUGCCCCCCAACCUGCUGUCAAACCAGCUGCUGCAGCACCUGCUUCAAGCCCACCUGUGUGACCAGCUGCUACAGCACCCCUAUCUGCCAGCCUAGGUGCUGUGUGUCCAGCUGCUGCCAGCCCAGCUGCUGUGAGUCCAGUUCCUGUGGCCAAACCAGCUGUGGCUCCAGCUGCUGCCAGCCCAGCUGCUGCCAGCCCACCUGCUGCCAGCCAGCCUGCUCUGGACCCGUGAUCUGCACCAGAACCUGCUACCACCCCACGUGCGUCUGCCUGACUGGGAGCCUCCCCGAGAGCUUCGGAUCCAGCUGCUGCCAGCCCUGCAGCUGCUGAUCAACUCCCCAAAGACCACCAUCCGCCCCACCAAAUCCGAGGAACCACCAUGCCAUUUCCGCACAAAUGCACUCCCUGCCUUUCUGACAUCACCAAGCUAGCACCAGGACAUCCGUUCCUCAUGCAGUGUUGUAAGAACCAGUGGAUGACUACAAGGGAAGGCAGAGUCCUCCACCCUCAGCCUCUGAGCCCUUAGGUGCUGUCAGUCUUCUGCCAGCUUCACAGAUCUUGGCGUGCAACUCCAGCCUUGACUUGAGCUCUGAAGCCAAGAUGGUCAUCUCAUCCCCUGAACAACAUAGGAAAACUCUUCUUCAUGAAAAGUCAUAAGCUUAGGCAACUGAUCAAGCAUGGCUAUAAUCACGUCUUCUUUGGCACUGUACUCUGCAUGCUUGCAUGCUCUGCUUUCUCCUUUCCGCAUCGCUUGAGUUGUCUCCCUAGAUUAUGUAGGCUUCAUACAUUCUCAAUAAAUGCAGCUCUGUUAUUCAGCACACGUUGUCUGUCUCCGUUUCAUUGUGCUAAGAACACUUGGCAUAAGAUGUACGGCCCUGCAGAUUUCUAAGUGUACAAGAGGGCACCGUGCUGAAGACCAGAUCUCAAGAAGUUAUUCACCCUGC
rnacentral:lncRNA from 1 species